rnacentral:misc_RNA from 1 species
UUUCCGUAGGUGGACCUGCGGAAGGAUCAUUAUUGUAUAACCGAGGUGCGAGGGCUGUCGCUGACCCGAAAGGUCGUGCACGCCCGAGUGCCCUCACACGCAUCCAUCUCACCCCUAUGUGCACCACCGCGUGGGUCCCCCUUUGGCUUGUUCGGAGGGGGGCUUACGUUUUCACACAAACUUUGUAUGCAGUGUAGAAUGUAUUUUUUGUUUUUGCGAUCACGCAAUCAAUACAACUUUCAACAACGGAUCUCUUGGCUCUC